GUCUAGAUGCUGUGGAGCGAUGUGUCAUUUGGUUGCUAACUUCUGCCCUCUCCAUCUCGCGGAACGGCAAGAAUGUCAGCACACACAUGCUUUGGCCUGAUUCGACUCCUGAUUGUCGUCAGUUUAUUGGUCCUUGUGAGCAGCCUUACUGCAGGUAGCUGGCGGCCGCCUUGCUCGAGUACUGAUCCAAACAACCCUUGUCCACCGUCGUGCAGUCCGCGCUCACCUUCUUGUCAUUAGCAACUGAGAGCCCGGGAGCUCAUCCUGAUUCUACACAAUGCAUAAAACGUGAGAAAACUAGCUAUCUGUUUGUUUCCUUUGAUCGAUCUGUUAAUGCUGGUACAUUUGGACGAGACUGCAUUUCCAUGUCAGUAAACUUGAAUAAAUCAAGUAGGCUAUGUUUCUUGUAAUAGGAAUUAGUAUAUCAAGGACUUUCGAUCAAAUUUCAGACUUGCGUAUAUCAAAAGAGAAUAUUAUCAGUUUUUUUUUAAAAAAAGAGAAUAUUAUCUAAUGACAGGAGUCGGAAAUUUUUUAUUUAGACACGCGGACCUGGCCUGGCGUUACUUUGAAGUUUGAACUGUUCUUUGCCGGGAGCCUGUCACGGACUCUGGAAUGAUUUCGAAGUCACCGGUGCAAGACAGCUAGACACGGCGACUUCUCUGCCCCGCAGUCACCUGCUUCCACCGCAUCCUGUUCCCAGUAAAACACGGGUUCAUAGGUUGUUGACGGUUUGACCAAGCUCCUCUAUAGAUGAGCAUGCUGGAGCGCUGUGUUAUUUGAGCCGCCCAGUGUGCCAUGCCAAGUGUUCGCUUUGGUUGCUAACUUGCAUUGUGCCCUCUCAAACUCGCGGAGCACACUGCAGAACAGCAAGCAAGAAUGCCAUCAAACGCCUACCAUUGCCGGAUCCUACUCAUUCUCGUCCUCAGUUUAUUGGUUAUUAGCAGCAGCCUUACCGGAGCUUUACGGCCACCAAAUUGCCAGCAAGCGGAUUCGAACAGCCCCUGUCCAGGAUUCUGCGAUCCGAAUUUGACUGUCUGUCAUCAUUAGUACGUGAGAGGAGAGCUCAUUCUGAUUCUUCACAAUUCACACAAAAUUUGAGCAGAUUCUCUGGUUACCUUUGAUCUCCCAAUGCUGGAACACUUGAACGAUGAUGCAUUUACAUGUCUGUACCCUUGAGUAACUUAAGUAGGCUAUAUUCCCUUGUAAUAGGGAUUGGUAUAUCACAGAGUUUUGGUCAAAUUUCAUACUUUAUGUAAAUGUGUCGCGUAUAGGAGUUCUAUCCACAAAGAUAAUAAGAGGAUUCCAAAA